rnacentral:rRNA from 1 species
UACGUAGGGUGCAAGCGUUGUCCGGAAUCAUUGGGCGUAAAGCGCGCGUAGGUGGCUUCGUAAGUCCGUUGUGAAAGUCAAGGGCUCAACCUUUGAAUGCCGAUGGAUACUGCGAAGCUAGAGUACGGAAGAGGCGAGUGGAAUUCCUGGUGUAGCGGUGGAAUGCGCAGAUAUCAGGAGGAACACCAAUAGCGAAGGCAGCUCGCUGGGACGUUACUGACACUAAGGCGCGAAAGCGUGGGGAGCGAACAGG